GGUACCAUGGCCGAGUGGCUAGGCAUGGGUCUGCAAAACCUAGUACAGCGGUUCGAAUCCGCUUGGUACCUCAA
rnacentral:tRNA from 1 species